AACAUCGCCUCCUGCAAAAAUCAAUGUAUAGGAGGUCCUGCCUGCCCAGUGACAACUUGUUAAACGGCCGCGGUAUUUUGACCGUGCUAAGGUAGCGCAAUCACUUGUCUUUUAAAUGAAGACCUGUAUGAAUGGUGGAACGAGGGCUUAACUGUCUCCCUUCUCCCGUCAAUGAAAUUGAUCUGCCCGUGCAGAAGCGGACAUACACAUACAAGACGAGAAGACCCUUUGGAGCUUAUUGGGGCGACCGCGGGGGAAAACAAAGCCCCCACGUAAUACCGAGAGAGACAUCUCUAAGCCACAGAAUAUCUGACCAAAAGAUCCGGCCCACAGGCCGAUCAACGAACCAAGUUACCCUAGGGAUAACAGCGCAAUCCCCUCCAAGAGUUCAUAUCGACGAGAGGGUUUACGACCUCGAUGUUGGAUCAGGACAUCCUAAUGGUGCAGCCGCUAUUAAGGGUUCGUUUGUUCAACGAUUAAAGUCCUACGUGAUCU
rnacentral:rRNA from 1 species